rnacentral:lncRNA from 1 species
UCUUAUCUUAAUGCUCUUCGUGCAGCUCUCACUAUAACUCUCAUAUCAAAACAUCACCGAAAAACGGCUCUGUCGCGCUGGAAAUUGCUUCUGGCGGCAGGGAUUCACCAUUCCAUGAAAACCAACCACCAAAAUGAUCGUCUCACUCUCCUCUCCUCAAGUCUAUCAUCAAUUUCUUCAUAACCCCCGCCAAUUUUCGAAAUCGAGCUAAUAAAGCUAAGAACCCUAGGUCCUCAAAAUAGAAUUAAAUGGCGAUGAUGCAUAAUUCAGAUUCAAGAUCUUAGGGUUAUCGAUCCUUAUAAUUAAUACCAUAAGUUGGUAACAAAUUUUAAGGGAAAUCAAGAGAAAUUAAAUGAGGGGAGCCUACCUUCAGAGCAGUGACUUGCUCUAACAGAUGUUGAGAGGCUUUAAGAAGAAUAUGCAGAGAAAUCAAGAGGUAAAUUAGGUAAGCUUCAAUCCUCUUCCUUCUGUUUAUGGUUUCUUCUUCUUCUUCUUCUUCUUCUUCUAUUAUUUCUUCGAAUUUAUGAGUGUAUAACCUCCUACUAGUGAGUUGUUGAUGAUGAUGUGGGCGUGUAGAAAAUGAUAGGAGUAGAGAGAUUGAUGGAAUGUGAUUUGUUGUAGAGAAAAAAAAUAGAAAGAGAGAGUGAUUGUGAUUUUCUACAGAAUAAUUGUUGAUUCCUCUGAGUGAAGGUGAUGAAUUAUUAUAUAAAGUGUGAUUAGUAACUGAUUCAGGCAAGGAAUUUGGGAGGUUUUUGAGAGUUAGGGUAGACAUUAUGGUUAGUUGAAUUUGUGAAGAAGUUGGUUUGGAAUUCUAACUCUGUUAGAGUUCUGUUAGUAGUUGUUAGUUAUGAAUUAGAAAGUUAGUAGUUAUAGAUUAAAGUUAGUUAUGCAGUUAGAAUUGGAGUGUCAAUGAAGGGAAAAAAAGUCAGUGAACUAAACAAUGCGUACUGUUACAUUUAGGUCAAUGUUAUGGUUAGUUUAGUUAUGCAAUUAGUGAUUGAUUUUGAAAUGAAUUAGUUAGUUCGAAUUACUUUGAAGUUAAAAGUUAGGAUUAGUUGUUAUGUGCUAGUGAUUUAGCUUGAUGAAUAAAUUGUUAGAGUUGGUUGUUAUGUUUGAAAUUGGUUGUUGGAAUCUUGGAAGUAUAUUUUGGCAUUAUGAAGUGAAAAAUAGUGAAUUAAACUUGUUAGGAGAAAGUUAACACAAACUAAUUAAUUGACCUAUGUUAGUUAUUAGAAACCAACUAGCUAUUAGAUGAUUUGCUAUGUUAGGAGAAGUAUAUGAUUAGUUAUGGUUGAUUGAAACAGUUAGCGAAUUAGUUGAUUGGUUAAUUGACUUGUUAAGGUAAACUAGUGUUUUGAAAUUGGUUAAAAGUUAUGGACAGAUAUUAAUUGUCAUGAAACUGACUUAGAAUUGGUUUUGUGGUUUAGAUGAUUGGUUAAUGAUUAACUUGUGUUAAAGCAAUGUGUGAGACUUGGUUUGAGUUAGUGUUAGCAUAGUCGUGCAUUGUCUUUGGAAUUUUGUUUGCAGUUUGGACUAGUAUGGCAAGAUUUGAUGGAAUCUCAUAUCAUGCUUGUAUUGUUUUGAUUUGUUAGAAUGAAAUUGGAGUUAGUGAAUUAGGAUAGUGAUAUUGGAAGUUAUUGUUAGUGUAGUUAUGGAUGUUAGCAGUUAAGAGUUAUUUGAUGUUAGGUUAUGCUGUCAUUGAAUUGAAAAUGGGAACUACAUUGAGAUGUUAGUAAAUAAUACUUGCAUAGGCCAUGUGUAUGUGUGAAUUUAGCUCUGACUGUGUAUGGAUGUAUGGUAUUGUAGGGCUUGGCAUGGAAUGACACAAUGUGCUCGUGAAGAUUUUGUUAGAAAGAUAUGGAACAAGUCAUGGCAUGAAGGUUUUCAUCAAAAAUAAAAAAUCAUGAAGAGCUUGAAGGCUUUUGAGGCUCACAAGAAUGAGGAUAGCUUGUGAAUAAAAAAAUGUAGGAAUUAGGAUUAGGGUUAGUGGUUGACUUUAGUCAACUAUUUGACCAUAAAGUCAAUAGUUGACCAAAAGUCAACUAUAUGCCAAAAAUGUAAUUUUAUAUAGAAUUUGAUUUUGGAUUUUGUAAUGGAAUUUUGAAGGUUUUGUAAUAGAAAUGACUCUUUGAAUGGCAUGUAACUUGUAUUCCAAGCAAAAUGUUUUCC